rnacentral:rRNA from 1 species
GGUAGUCCACGCUGUAAACGAUGAAUACUAGGUGUUGGGGGUAUCGACCCCCUCAGUGCCGAAGCUAACGCGAUAAGUACUCCGCCUGGGGACUACGGCCGCAAGGCUAAAACUCAAAGGAAUUGACGGGGCCCGCACAAGCAGCGGAGCAUGUGGCUUAAUUCGACGCAACGCGAAGAACCUUACCAAGGCUUGACAUACACCGGAAAGCAUUAGAGAUAGUGCCCCCCUUGUGGUCGGUGUACAGGUGGUGCAUGGCUGUCGUCAGCUCGUGUCGUGAGAUGUUGGGUUAAG